rnacentral:rRNA from 1 species
GACGAGGGGUCCUAGCGUUGUUCGGAAUCACUGGGCGUAAAGCGUUCGUAGGCGGCUCUAUAAGUCGGGCGUGAAAUCCCACGGCUCAACCGUGGAAGUGCAUUCGAAACUGCAGAGCUUGAAUAUGGUAGAGGGUAGUAGAAUUCCUGGUGUAGUGGUGAAAUACGUAGAUAUCAGGAGGAAUACCGGUGGCGAAGGCGGCGACCUGGACCAAUAUUGACGCUGAGGAACGAAAGUGCGGGGAUCAAACAGG